rnacentral:rRNA from 1 species
AGCGAACGCUGGCGGCAGGCCUAACACAUGCAAGUCGAACGAACCUUUCGGGGUUAGUGGCGGACGGGUGAGUAACACGUGGGAACGUGCCUUUAGGUUCGGAAUAACUCAGGGAAACUUGUGCUAAUACCGAAUGUGCCCUUCGGGGGAAAGAUUUAUCGCCUUUAGAGCGGCCGGCGUCGGAUUAGCUAGUUGGUUGAGGUAAUGGCUCACCAAGGCGACGAUCAGUAGCUGGUCUGAGAGGAUGAUCAGCCACAUUGGGACUGAGACACGGCCCAAACUCUUACGGGAGGCAGCAGUGGGGAAUCUUGCGCAAUGGGCGAAAGCCUGACGCAGCCAUGCCGCGUGAAUGAUGAAGGUCUUAGGAUUGUAAAAUUCUUUCACCGGGGACGAUAAUGACGGUACCCGGAGAAGAAGCCCCGGCUAACUUCGUG